UACGUACUGGGCGUACGUUGUUCGGAAUCACUGGGCGUAAAGGGAGCGUAGGCGGCAAGGUAAGUCAGGUGUGAAAUCCCGGGGCUCAACCCCGGAACUGCACCCGAUACUGCUUUGCUAGAGUAAUGGAGGGGUAGCUGGAAUUCUCGGUGUAGCAGUGAAAUGCGUGGAUAUCGAGAGGAACACUUGUGGCGAAGGCGAGCUACUGGACAUUUACUGACGCUGAGGCUCGAAGGCCAGGGUAGCGAAAGGG
rnacentral:misc_RNA from 1 species